CAAGAAUCGAGGCUGACGGUGCCUACUCUGUAGGCUCCGUCCAGUCCCGCUCUCUACCUUGCCUACUGCACCGUUUGUUGCUUCCUGGCGGCGGCGUCCCGUCGCCAGGGCCUUUUGAAAGCCAAGUAUAAGCAUUGAAACUUCUGACAUACACUAAAUCGUA
rnacentral:misc_RNA from 2 species